GCCUCUAAAGGAUAACGGCCAUCCGUUAGCCGUAGGAGCUAAUUAUUCUUGGUUCAAAUCCAAGUAGUGGUU
rnacentral:tRNA from 1 species